rnacentral:rRNA from 1 species
ACCAAGGCUAUGACGCUUAACUGGUCUGAGAGGAUGAUCAGUCACACUGGAACUGAGACACGGUCCAGACUCCUACGGGAGGCAGCAGUAGGGAAUAUUGCGCAAUGGGGGAAACCCUGACGCAGCAACGCCGCGUGGAGGAUGACACUUUUCGGAGCGUAAACUCCUUUUCUUAGGGAAGAAUUCUGACGGUACCUAAGGAAUAAGCACCGGCUAACUCCGUGCCAGCAGCCGCGGUAAUACGGAGGGUGCAAGCGUUACUCGGAAUCACUGGGCGUAAAGGGCGCGUAGGCGGAUUAUCAAGUCUCUUGUGAAAUCUAAUGGCUUAACCAUUAAACUGCUUGGGAAACUGAUAGUCUAGAGUGAGGGAGAGGCAGAUGGAAUUGGUGGUGUAGGGGUAAAAUCCGUAGAUAUCACCAAGAAUACCCAUUGCGAAGGCGAUCUGCUGGAACUCAACUGACGCUAAGGCGCGAAAGCGUGGGGAGCAAACAGGAUUAGAUACCCUGGUAGUCCACGCCCUAAACGAUGUACACUAGUUGUUGGGGUGCUAGUCAUCUCAGUAAUGCAGCUAACGCAUUAAGUGUACCGCCUGGGGAGUACGGUCGCAAGAUUAAAACUCAAAGGAAUAGACGGGGACCCGCACAAGCGGUGGAGCAUGUGGUUUAAUUCGAGGAUACGCGAAGAACCUUACCUGGGCUUGAUAUCCUAAGAACCUUUUAGAGAUAAGAGGGUGCUAGCUUGCUAGAACUUAGAGACAGGUGCUGCACGGCUGUCGUCAGCUCGUGUCGUGAGAUGUUGGGUUAAGUCCCGCAACGAGCGCAACCCACGUAUUUAGUUGCUAACGGUUCGGCCGAGCACUCUAAAUAGACUGCCUUCGUAAGGAGGAGGAAGGUGUGGACGACGUCAAGUCAUCAUGGCCCUUAUGCCCAGGGCGACACACGUGCUACAAUGGCAUAUACAAUGAGACGCAAUACCGCGAGGUGGAGCAAAUCUAUAAAAUAUGUCCCAGUUCGGAUUGUUCUCUGCAACUCGAGAGCAUGAAGCCGGAAUCGCUAGUAAUCGUAGAUCAGCCAUGCUACGGUGAAUACGUUCCCGGGUCUUGUACUCACCGCCCGUCACACCAUGGGAGUUGAUUUCACUCGAAGCCGGAAUACUAAACUAGUUACCGUCCACAGUGGAAUCAGCGACUGGGGUGAAGUCGUAACAAGGUAACCGUAGGAGAACCUGCGGUUGGAUCACCUCCUUUCUA